rnacentral:rRNA from 1 species
UGCUGCCUCCCGUAGGAGUCUGGACCGUGUCUCAGUUCCAGUGUGGCUGAUCAUCCUCUCAGACCAGCUACGGAUCGUCGCCUUGGUGGGCCUUUACCCCGCCAACUAGCUAAUCCGACAUCGGCUCAUUCAAUCGCGCAAGGUCCGAAGAUCCCCUGCUUUCACCCGUAGGUCGUAUGCGGUAUUAGCGUAAGUUUCCCUACGUUAUCCCCCACGAAAAAGUAGAUUCCGAUGUAUUCCUCACCCGUCCGCCACUCGCCACCCAUAAGAGCAAGCUCUUACUGUGCUGCCGUCCGACUUGCAUGUGUUAGGCCUACCGCCAGCGUUCACUCUGAGCCAGGAUCAAACUCUAAUCGAAUUCCCG